rnacentral:rRNA from 1 species
AGUGAACGCUGGCGGUAGGCCUAACACAUGCAAGUCGAACGGCAGCACAGUAAGAGCUUGCUCUUACGGGUGGCGAGUGGCGGACGGGUGAGGAAUACAUCGGAAUCUACUUUUUCGUGGGGGAUAACGUAGGGAAACUUACGCUAAUACCGCAUACGACCUACGGGUGAAAGCAGGGGAUCUUCGGACCUUGCGCGAUUGAAUGAGCCGAUGUCGGAUUAGCUAGUUGGCGGGGUAAAGGCCCACCAAGGCGACGAUCCGUAGCUGGUCUGAGAGGAUGAUCAGGCACACCUGAACUGGGACACGGGCCAGAACCCUACGGGAGGCAGCAGUGGGGAAUAUUGGACAAUGGGCGGCAGCCUGAUCCAGGCCUUCCGGGUGGGUGAAGAAGGGCUUCGGGUUGGAAAGCCCUUUUUGUUGGGAAGAAAAGCAGCAGGUUAAUACCCCGCUGUUUUGACGGUACCCAAAGAAUAAGCACCGGCUAACUUCGUG